rnacentral:rRNA from 1 species
AGCGAACGCUGGCGGCAGGCCUAACACAUGCAAGUCGAACGCCCCGCAAGGGGAGUGGCAGACGGGUGAGUAACGCGUGGGAACAUACCCUUCGGUUCGGAAUAACUCAGGGAAACUUGGGCUAAUACCGGAUACGUCCGUGAGGAGAAAGAUUUAUCGCCGAAGGAUUGGCCCGCGUAAGAUUAGCUAGUUGGUGAGGUAACGGCUCACCAAGGCUAUGAUCUUUAGCUGGUCUGAGAGGACGAUCAGCCACACUGGGACUGAGACACGGCCCAGACUCCUACGGGAGGCAGCAGUGGGGAAUAUUGGACAAUGGGCGCAAGCCUGAUCCAGCCAUGCCGCGUGAGUGAUGAAGGCCUUAGGGUU